UCCUACGGGAGGCAGCAGUGGGGAAUCUUGGACAAUGGGGGCAACCCUGAUCUAGCCAUGCCGCGUGAGUGAUGAAGGCCUUAGGGUCGUAAAGCUCUUUCGCCUGUGAAGAUAAUGACGGUAGCAGGUAAAGAAACCCCGGCUAACUCCGUGCCAGCAGCCGCGGUAAUACGGAGGGGGUUAGCGUUGUUCGGAAUUACUGGGCGUAAAGCGCACGUAGGCGGAUCGGAAAGUUGGGGGUGAAAUCCCGGGGCUCAACCCCGGAACUGCCUCCAAAACUAUCGGUCUAGAGUUCGAGAGAGGUGAGUGGAAUUCCGAGUGUAGAGGUGAAAUUCGUAGAUAUUCGGAGGAACACCAGUGGCGAAGGCGGCUCACUGGCUCGAUACUGACGCUGAGGUGCGAAAGUGUGGGGAGCAAACAGGAUUAGAUACCCUGGUAGUCCACACCGUAAACGAUGAAUGCCAGUCGUCGGGUAGCAUGCUAUUCGGUGACACACCUAACGGAUUAAGCAUUCCGCCUGGGGAGUACGGUCGCAAGAUUAAAACUCAAAUGAAUUGACGG
rnacentral:rRNA from 1 species